UACGGGAGGCAGCAGUGGGGAAUAUUGCACAAUGGGCGCAAGCCUGAUGCAGCCAUGCCGCGUGUAUGAAAAAGGCCUUCGGGUUGUAAAGUACUUUCAGUCGUGAGGAAGGUGUUAAGGUUAAUAACCUUAGCAAUUGACGUUAGCGACAGAAGAAGCACCGGCUAACUCCGUGCCGGCAGCCGCGGUAAUACGGAGGGUGCGAGCGUUAAUCGGAAUUACUGGGCGUAAAGGGCACGCAGGCGGUUAAUUAAGUUGGAUGUGAAAUCCCCGGGCUUAACCUGGGAAUGGCAUUCAAGACUGGUUAGCUAGAGUCUUGUAGAGGGGGUAGAAUUCCAUGUGUAGCGGUGAAAUGCGUAGAGAUGUGGAGGAAUACCGGUGGCGAAGGCGGCCCCCUGGACAAAGACUGACGCUCAUGUGCGAAAGCGUGGGGAGCAAACAGGGAUUAGAUACC
rnacentral:rRNA from 1 species